AACGAACGCUGGCGGCAUGCCUAACACAUGCAAGUCGAACGAGACCUUCGGGUCUAGUGGCGCACGGGUGCGUAACGCGUGGGAACCUGCCCUUAGGUUCGGAAUAACUCCCCGAAAGGGGUGCUAAUACCGGAUAAUGUCUUCGGACCAAAGAUUUAUCGCCUUUGGAUGGGCCCGCGUUGGAUUAGCUAGUUGGUAGGGUAAAAGCCUACCAAGGCGACGAUCCAUAGCUGGUCUGUGAGGAUGAUCAGCCACACUGGGACUGAGACACGGCCCAGACGCCUUCAAGAAGGAGCAAAGCGGAAGAAUGAACCGUGGGCGAAAACCGGAACCAGCAAUGCCGAGUAAGUGUAGAAGGCCUUGACGUUGUAACGCACUGUAACACGGGAUGAUAAUGACAGUACCGCGAGAAUAAGCUCCGACUAAAUCCAUG
rnacentral:rRNA from 1 species